CUCCACUAUGGCCAAGACCAAAGAGCUGUCAAAGGACACCAGAGACAAAAUUGUAGACCUGCACCAGGCUGGGAAGACUGAAUCUGCAAUAGGGUGGAUACACUGCCCUCUGGUCUGCGUCAUUUCACAUGGCUGAAUCCAACUGCUCCCUGUUAAGACCAACUGAUGCUGACAGAGGCUAUCUCAGUUUCACCAAUGAGACAUCGCAACAAUAACCACAAGCGCCAUUACACUAAUCAAAGGUUAACCACGUGUCCUUCACGAAGAUGUCCAUCGGUGGACUAAUAGAGCUUCGCCUUCACCUCCAUGUCCAAGUGACAAAACAGUGACACCAUCAAAAAUCACGACAACGGCCCGGCGUCCGAGUCCGCAUCAGCAAAGAAGGUGGCCACGGCUUACCUCUCUGCGGUCCUGUAAACACUCGAGCACGGACAAGUUAUUGGCCCAGGUGUGUUUGGGGCAGAGCCGAGUCAGGUCCUCUCUGCAGGCCUCCUCCUCUGACAGCUUCCAACCGGUCGCCCUUCGAGACUGGGAGGCCCCAGCGGCUGCGGCUGCGGCGGCGGCAGGUGCAUCCUUCGCUUGUUGCUCAGCGGCUCUGAGGAUGACCGGGUUGUUCGGAGGCUCGGCGGGACCGCUAGCGGCCUUGAAGCAGAAGACUGAGUCGAAGCUGCAGAGACACACGUAAGAUAACAGCAGUAGAAGCAGCGGAGAGCGACAGUACGUCGCCAUCUUCACACCACUGUUAAGCUAGCUGUAUUAGAAGAGCAACAAAGCACCACUUCCGGUCAUCAAGUUCACAAUAAAAGUCA